AAAACGGAGAGUUUGAUCCUGGCUCAGGAUGAACGCUGGCGGUAUGCUUAACACAUGCAAGUCGAACGAAAUCUUUCGGGAUUUAGUGGCGGACGGGUGA
rnacentral:rRNA from 1 species